AUAAGGUGGCUGAUAAAAGCAUGGAACUGUAAAUUCUUAUAUAAAUAAAUGUUUUCUUGUCAA
rnacentral:tRNA from 1 species